rnacentral:rRNA from 1 species
UACGUAGGGUGCGAGCGUUGUCCGGAAUUACUGGGCGUAAAGAGCUCGUAGGUGGUUUGUCGCGUUGUCCGUGAAAACUCACAACUCAAUUGUGGGCGUGCGGGCGAUACGGGCAGACUGGAGUACUGCAGGGGAGACUGGAAUUCCUGGUGUAGCGGUGGAAUGCGCAGAUAUCAGGAGGAAUACCGGUGGCGAAGGCGGCAUCCUGGACCGACAUUGACGCUGAGGAGCGAAAGCUAGGGGAGCAAACGGG